AUUUUGUGUUCAGUCAUCGAAAUACUCCUCGAAAGAAGACCAAUUUACGAAGUUGUUUCGUGAGUGAUGCUUUCUUAAUGUGAUUAACUCUUCUUCUUAAGGCAGUUUUGAUACUUCUCCUAUGUAUUUUUUUUUAUAUUAAUCUGAACUAAAAUUGGACUAAAAUAUAAAAAGUUUCCCAACGUCAUCUAUUUUUAAUUCCAAUAGUUUCUAUUUACUAAUGGCGAACUACUGAACUUAUGUAAUUGGAAUACCUCAAUGUAGACGCAAAAUAUAAAGGGAACUACAUUGUAAUUGGAUAAAUGAUAGUCUAAAUGACAACAGAACCAAUAUUAGUAAUCACUACAAUGCGCAACGUUGGUUGUAUUCCUUCAGAAACAUAAUUAUGUUCACACAAUUAUAGGAUAAACAAAAGUGAAUAUAUAAUCGAUCCUCUAAAAUACGGUUGAGUUUUACACUUUGCACUAUUUAAAUGUACGUCCGUCAGAGGUAGUAUCAGAGGUUCUAGAAGACAAUUUUACCGUUAAGGAUGUAUUUUCAACUGAUCUGGGAUUUCCUGUUCGUGUGGUUUGUAUUUUCAAGAUUUCUUUCUGUAAAAAGUAAAGGAAUUUUAGUUUGCAAAAAUGGCUACGAAGAUAUGGAGGGCCAUUGUUUGAAAUGGCAUACUAUAGAAGCAACUUACAUAGACGCUGUGGAAAAAUGUCGACAAGAUGAAGGACAAUUAGUCACUAUAAAAAAUGCUCAAAAACAGCUGGUAGUUAAUAACUUCAGGUACCAUCAACACUUACCCGAUAAUAAACGAGUCUGGUUAGGACUCAAACAAAAUGAUGCCAAAUGGAAAUGGGUUGAUGGAACAUCACUGGGCUAUUCUAAGUGGAGACCAAAUGCGGUCACAACAGAAACAGGUGAAGAUCUCUGUGCAUGUUUGAAGCUAGAAAGCGACAAAGAGAACACAUGGUUGACUAUUGCUUGUAUAUUUAAAUUUAUCUUUAUCUGUGAAGAAACAACUCACCCAUCUUUACCAAUGAGCACCCGAAAUGGUCAAAUCAAAUCUGGAAAUUGGUUACGGACACAUCAAAACUUCAGGCACGCUAACCAGUUUGUUUUCAGUGUAAGAGAGUCCAGUUCCCGAUUACAGUGUGUAAAUGUCUGCCAGAUGAUUGAACUUUGCAAAAGUUUCAGUUACAAUAUCAAGGAUAAACAGUGUUCCUUCUCUAACCGAACUCAGACUUUGAAUCCAAUACCAAAAGACUGUUGGGAAGUCUGGGUUUUACAGAAUGAUGUUCCAGACGAUCACCAACAGAUCUCCAUAUAACCGAAUCUUCUGACAGAUUUAGAAGGCUACAUCGCCCUAUGUUUCAAGAUGAUUUCUAAUAGCGUGAAUAUUCAUAUGAAAUUUAAUGUAAUAUAAUUUGAAUUACGUAUUUCAAUUUAAAAUUAGAUUAAAAUUUCUUAAAUAAAUUAACUUGAAUCAAAAGCACGCCACUUGACUCAAUGACAUACCUU